AUUCUCUCCUGCUUGUGUUAUUAAUAUUUAUCUUCACUGAGAAGUUUCUUCCAUUGCACUCAGAAUGUGCUAAACUUUGUGAUUUUUUUUCCCAUAUGUGGGAAACUCACUUGCAUUAUUUGUGGUACUGGGGAACUGUGCUUGUGCUUUCCUCU
rnacentral:snRNA from 1 species